rnacentral:rRNA from 1 species
UAGGGAAUCUUCCGCAAUGGGCGAAAGCUUGACGGAGCAACGCCGCGUGAGUGAUGAAGGUCUUCGGAUCGUAAAACUCUGUUAUUAGGGAAGAACAAAUGUGUAAGUAACUAUGCACGUCUUGACGGUACCUAAUCAGAAAGCCACGGCUAACUACGUGCCAGCAGCCGCGGUAAUACGUAGGUGGCAAGCGUUAUCCGGAAUUAUUGGGCGUAAAGCGCGCGUAGGCGGUUUUUUAAGUCUGAUGUGAAAGCCCACGGCUCAACCGUGGAGGGUCAUUGGAAACUGGAAAACUUGAGUGCAGAAGAGGAAAGUGGAAUUCCAUGUGUAGCGGUGAAAUGCGCAGAGAUAUGGAGGAACACCAGUGGCGAAGGCGACUUUCUGGUCUGUAACUGACGCUGAUGGGCGAAAGCGUGGGGAUCAAACAGG